GAUGAACGCUGGCGGCGUGCCUAAUACAUGCAAGUCGAGCGAACAGACGAGGAGCUUGCUCCUCUGACGUUAGCGGCGGACGGGUGAGUAACACGUGGAUAACCUACAUAUAAGACUGGGAUAACUUCGGGAAACCGGAGCUAAUACCGGAUAAUAUAUUGAACCGCAUGGUUCAAUAGUGAAAGACGGUUUUGCUGUCACUUAUAGAUGGAUCCGCGCCGCAUUAGCUAGUUGGUAAGGUAACGGCUUACCAAGGCAACGAUGCGUAGCCGACCUGAGAGGGUGAUCGGCCACACUGGAACUGAGACACGGUCCAGACUCCUACGGGAGGCAGCAGUAGGGAAUUUUCCGCAAUGGGCGAAAGCCUGACGGAGCAACGCCGCGUGAGUGAUGAAGGUCUUCGGAUCGUAAAACUCUGUUAUUAGGGAAGAACAAAUGUGUAAGUAACUAUGCACGUCUUGACGGUACCUAAUCAGAAAGCCACGGCUAACUACGUG
rnacentral:rRNA from 1 species